GCGGCAGGAACUGGGUUGCUGUGCCUCCAAACCUCUCUUGGAGACAGCCUGAGCUCAGCUGGGGUUUAGGCUGCCAGCCCAUUUUGUGCAUCCUGGUAAUGGGGUGUCCUUGCAGUGAGGUGUCCUUGCAGGAAAAGCCCUGAUCUGCACAGCCUGUGUGGCCUCAAUCCCAUAACAUUGCUGCAGAGACAGAGGAGUAUGGAGCUUGUCAGGAACUGUUGGAAGGUGACAGGGUGACCAAAGGAGGUAUCCUGGAGGAUACACGCUGCACCAAAGUGAAAACUGUGGUCUCCCUUUUUGUAAGUCAGAGGGAACAAAGUCAAAUACAUCAUUUAUUGCAAA